AUUGAACGCUGGCGGCAGGCCUAACACAUGCAAGUCGAGCGGAUGAAGGGAGCUUGUUCUUGUAUUCCGCGGCGGACGGGUGAGUAAUGCCUAGGAAUCUGCCUUGUAUUUGGGAAUAACGUCCGGAAACGGGCGCUAAUCCCGCAUACGACCUGAGGUUGAACGUGGGGGAUCUUCGGACCUCACGCUAUCAGAUGACCCUAGGUCGGAUUAGCUAGUUGGUGGGGUAAAGGCCUACCAAGGCGACGAUCCGUAACUGCUCUGCGAGGCUGAUCAGUCACACUGGAACUGAGACACGGUCCAGACUCCUACGGGAGGCAGCAGUGGGGAAUAUUGGACAAUGGGCGAAAGCCUGAUCCAGCCAUGCCGCGUGUGUGAAGAAGGUCUUCGGAUUGUAAAGCACUUUAAGUUGGGAGGAAGGGCAGUAAGUUAAUACCUUGCUGUUUUGACGGUACCAACAGAAUAAGCACCGGCUAACUUCGUG
rnacentral:rRNA from 1 species